UGGGGAAUAUUGCACAAUGGGCGCAAGCCUGAUGCAGCGACGCCGCGUGAGGGAUGACGGCCUUCGGGUUGUAAACCUCUUUCAGCUCCGACGAAGCGCAAGUGACGGUAGGAGCAGAAGAAGCACCGGCCAACUACGUGCCAGCAGCCGCGGUAAUACGUAGGGUGCAAGCGUUGUCCGGAAUUACUGGGCGUAAAGAGCUCGUAGGCGGUUUGUCGCGUCGUCUGUGAAAUUCUGCAGCUUAACUGCAGGCGUGCAGGCGAUACGGGCAGACUUGAGUACUACAGGGGAGACUGGAAUUCCGAGUGUAGAGGUGAAAUUCGUAGAUAUUCGGAGGAACACCAGUGGCGAAGGCGGCUCACUGGCUCGAUACUGACGCUGAGGUGCGAAAGCGUGGGGAGCAAACAGG
rnacentral:rRNA from 1 species